UGGAAGCAGAGCCCUUUGCUUCCACCUCUACGACUUUCCACUUCAGCCUUGCAGCUGGACCUCCUCCGCUCGUCCUUGCUGGGGACAGAUGCUACGGGAAGCAGGCCGGAGCAGAGCCCCUCCUGACCUGGGGUCGCACUGGGCACUCCGCCUGCUGAGAGGCACCGUGGCUUUUCAAAACUUUCUGUGAAGACCAAAGAAAAUGAGAUCCGACUUGUUAAUUGCUCCAGACUUUAUUCAACGAUACCUCUUCUCCAGAAGCACUCACUCACGUCCUAGCGUUUUAUACACAAGCAACUUCACCGAAGCCGUGACUUCAAUAGGAGAACACGAGAAACAGUCUGAAGUUCCACAGACGGUCAGGUGUCUAAAUACACGUCAAUACAUUCAUCCAGUCAAAGAGUAUGCGGCCACCGACAGAGUGCCGAGGUUCCAGAGAGAUCAGCAUGGAGGAAAAACCAAGAUACAAAGUUGAAUGAAGAGAGACAAUUCAAAGCAGUCUGAGUUGAUCAUAUA